AAAAUGGCCACUACGUCUAAGGAUGGCAGCAGGCGCGCAAAUUACCCACUCUCAGAACAUUGAGGAGGUAGUGACGAAAAAUAACGAGGUGCUUCUCUUUGAGGCGCACCAUCGGAAUGGGUACAAUCUAAACCCUUUAACGAGUAUCUAUGAGAGGGCAAGUCUGGUGCCAGCAGCCGCGGUAAUUCCAGCUCUCAAAAUGCAUAGAAUUAUUGCUGCGGUUAAAAAGCUCGUAGUUGGAUCUGUGGCCGGGAGUCGGUCGCGCUUUCGGGCGCGUACUGCUAACCCGGCCUUGUUUGCCGGUUUUCUCCGCGUCGGUCUUCACCGACUGCGGGGGGUGGCUGGCGAUUUUACUUUGAACAAAUCAGAGUGCUUAACACAGGCGUUUCGCUUGAAUGUUCGUGCAUGGAAUAAUAGAAAAGGAUUUCGGUUCUAUUUUAUUGGUUUUAUAGACUGAGAUAAUGGUUAACAGAGACAAACGGGGGCAUUCGUAUUGCUGCGUGAGAGGUGAAAUUCUUGGACCGCAGCAAGACGAACUACAGCGAAAGCAUUUGCCAAGAAUGUCUUCAUUAAUCAAGAACGAAAGUCAGAGGUUCGAAGGCGAUCAGAUACCGCCCUAGUUCUGACCGUAAACGAUGCCAACUAGCGAUCCGCCGGCGGAUAUUUCGCCCUGGUGGGGAGCUUCCCGGAAACGAAAGUCUUCCGGUUCCGGGGGAAGUAUGGUUGCAAAGCUGAAACUUAAAGGAAUUGACGGAAGGGCACCACCAGGAGUGGAGCCUGCGGCUUAAUUUGACCCAACACGGGGAAACUCACCCGGCCCGGACACCGUAAGGAUUGACAGAUUGAUAGCUUUUUCAUGAUUCGGUGGAUGGUGGUGCAUGGCCGUUCUUAGUUCGUGGAGCGAUUUGUCUGGUUUAUUCCGAUAACGAGCGAGACUCUAGCCUACUAAAUAGUUCGCACAUUGCCAACUGUGUGCGCUUACUUCUUAGAGGGAUUUUCGGUGUUCAGCCGCACGAGAUUGAGCAAUAACAGGUCUGUGAUGCCCUUAGAUGUCCGGGGCUGCACGCGCGCUACACUGGCGAAAUCAGCGUGCUUGUCCUCUCUCGAAAGAGAUUGGUAAACCAUUGAAAAUUUGCCGUGAUUGGGAUCGGAAAUUGCAAUUAUUUUCCGUGAACGAGGAAUUCCAAGUAAGUGCGAGUCAUCAACUCGCGUUGAUUACGUCCCUGCCCUUUGUACACACCGCCCGUCGCUACCCGGGACUGAGCCAUUUCGAGAAAUUUGGGGAUUGCUGAUCAGUGGUCUCGCAAGGGAUCGCUUUUCGGUGAAAACCAACUUAAUCGAAGUGGCUUGAACCGGGUAAAAGUCGUAACAAGGUA
rnacentral:rRNA from 1 species